rfam:Vibrio aerogenes CECT 7868 genome assembly, contig: 0018
CCUGGCGGCCAUAGCGUUGUGGACCCACCUGAAUCCAUGCCGAACUCAGAAGUGAAACGCAAUUGCGCCGAUGGUAGUGUGGGGUUUCCCCAUGUGAGAGUAGGUCACUGCCAGGC